CAAUUUGACAAUUUAGUAGUGUCAACCCUGUGAUUAUGACCCGUGUAUAUAGCAUAUUAAUCCUGAAUACACCGUUUGGUGGUGUGCCUGUCAGAUGCGGAAGGUACAGAUAAGGUAAACUGUAACAGGUGAAUAUACUAUUGGUAUCGGUAUCGGACUCGACCCGGAACUUCUUAAUUUAUUGCAAUAUUAAUACGUGGAAAACAAAAGGGCCUAGAGUGGUGUAAUUUUUAAUCUACACCUUUGUACUAUAUUAGUUAUAUAUAAAGUUGAAUUCUUUGAUUCGUCGUUUUUACGUGAUGACGGCUGACAAAUUGGACCUCGUAAUUUUAGUAUUAUAGAUGUAU
rnacentral:lncRNA from 1 species